GGCCCCGUCGUCUAGCCAGGUCCAGGACACCGGGUUUUCAUCCCGGCAACACGGGUUCGAAUCCCGUCGGGGUCA
rnacentral:tRNA from 1 species